CCAGGCCACUCGCCCGACGUGCGGGUCUGAGCGCAGACUCAGCCCGGGGCCCAGGGUCCCCGUGGCCACAGUCAGGACGCCCCCUCCGCCUGGUGUGCGCCUCAGGAGUCAGCGUCCUGCCAGCCUCACCAUGAAGCGGGCUCUGGCUCUGGUGGGCCUGGCCUUCCUCUGUGUGCUCCGGGCUGGGGCCGCUCAGCAGACGGUGGACGAUGCCUGCUCUGUGCAGAUCCUCGUUCCCGGCCUCAAAGGGGAUGCUGGUGAGAAGGGGGACAAAGGCGCCCCAGGACGGCCCGGGAGAGUCGGCCCCACGGGAGAGAAAGGUGAAAAAGGAGAUUCUGGUGACAUAGGACCCCCUGGCCCUAACGGAGAGCCAGGCAUCCCGUGCGAGUGCAGCCAGCUGAGGAAGGCCAUCGGGGAGAUGGACAACCAGGUCACCCAGCUCACAGCCGAGCUGAAGUUCAUAAAGAACGCUGUUGCUGGGGUGCGAGAGACGGAGCAGAAGAUGUACCUGCUGGUGAAGGAGGAGAAGCGCUACCUGGACGCGCAGCUGGCCUGCCAGGGCCGGGGCGGCACGCUGAGCAUGCCCAAGGACGAGGCCGCCAACGCGCUGCUGGCCGCCUACAUCACACAGGCCGGCCUGGCCCGCGUCUUCAUCGGCAUCAACGACCUGGAGAGGGAAGGCGCGUUCGUCUACGCGGACCGCUCGCCCAUGCAGACCUUCAGCAAGUGGCGCAGCGGGGAACCCAACAACGCCUACGACGAGGAGGACUGCGUGGAGCUGGUGGCCUCAGGGGGUUGGAACGACGUGGCCUGCCACCUCACCAUGCACUUCCUCUGCGAGUUCGACAAGGAGCACAUGUAG
rnacentral:lncRNA from 1 species